GGGACUCUGUCUCAAGAAAAAAAAAAAAGGUCCUAUUAUAUAGCCUUAAUCUUUACAUUGGUCUUGGGAAAAGAAAUUUCAGAUACAUUUCUAGAACCCAGAUCACCUUGCUAAAAUGUAAAGUUUACCUCACUCCAUGAUUCUGCAAAUCUGCAUUGUUUUCCACACUGAGUUUAGAAUAAAAUACAAAUUCCUGAGCCUGGGCAAACAAACAGAAACCUUCCCAUCUUCAGUUCCCAAAUGACACUUCCAGGCUCUGAAAAAGCUCUGAGUAUCAUUGUUCCUGUAGUUCCCUCAGCUGAGAAUGUUAUUUUUCGAUUCUCUGUCUUUGGAAAUCCUUCCUAGCCUUCAGAUGCCACCUUCUGUGUGGAGCCCUCCUUGAUCUCCCAAGGCACAACUAAGACACAGGGUUCUUCUGAAUGCCCAUACCAGUGUGGCCUGUGUUUCAUUUAACCUUGUCCUACAUUUCAUUGUUUACACUCCCUUCUGGAUUGCAUACUCCUUGAGGAGUGGAAGGUUGUUGAUUCACUUUUGCAUCCAGAUAAUGUCCAACAAAAGAUAGGCAGCCUUUCAUAAAUGCUGGGCGUGCUUAGUAUAAUUCCUUCCUGAUAGGAAUCAGCAGCAGCUCCAAUGCUUUUUAGUGGCAGCAUAUUUGUAGAGCAGCUAAAGGGGAGGGUUGAGGAAGGACUGUGCCUACUCUGUCCUUCUUUCUACCCCCCAUCCCCAGCAGCAGAGAUAGGGUUCCUAGGUCUCCAGCUCUGCAUGCUUGACUAGCCUCCCAUCACAGCGUAUUUGCUGGAGAGGAAAUGGAAAUUGUUCCUGAUUUAAGUGCAUGCAUCACAUCAGAGGCAGGCCAGGGCCCCUUCGUCUCAUGAGUCAGCAGACAUUAAGCCAAGCUCAUCUCUUCCCCUUACCUAAAAGCCCACAAAGCAAUAAACUCAUUAUCACUGCACAGAGAAUCAUGAAUAGGCCAAGGACAGGUCAGUCUGGAUUGUUGCAAGGGCUGCUUUUGUAAGGAAACAGGCAGUGAGCCAUUUUGCUUUCAAUCGCUCAGUACUUCCACUACUCACUGCCUGAACCGGAGACACCCACUUGACAUUAUGCAGUAGGUACCCCAGAUACCGUUAUCAAACAACUGGGUCUACUUGCCUGGCACAAAGAAGCCAAACACUGACAUCCGGGAUUGCAGCGAGAGAAAGUGAGGCAUUUAUUGCCAGGCACCAACAAGGAGAGUCAGGCAGCUCAGGCUGAAGACCCGAACCCCCAAGAGCUUACAGCCUGAGUGAGAGCUCUGGGAUUCUGGUGGCCAGGAGACUCAACCCAGCAGAAACAGAUCCUGAACAGUCAGUGUGAUGCUGGGUUUUAUUUUGUUGUGAAUCCAUUUGCCCAGCUUACAAGAGGAAGACACUUCAUGGAUCAGUGACUUUUGAUUCCAGGCCUCAAAGGAGAUGUAAAAGUAAUGAUUAAAGGGACUCUGCCUCUAAGGAUGACGUCUGCCUUGGCCUGCCAUGCAUGGAAUUCCAAUUCAUCUUUACUGGUUCUAAAGGUGAUACAUUGACCUCCGUGUGCUUCACAUUUGCUUUUUAUUUCUCAAAUUGUUUAGAAUCCAGGCUGGGAAGAGGAAUGCUAUAAUGAGGUUUCCUUAGAGACUUCAAUACCUCGUGGAGUCUUUACUUCCAAACAUCCUUUCAUUACAAUUCGCUGCACUCUGCAAAGCUUCAGAAGGAAAAUAGCAGAGGUCGUCCUAUCAGAGUAUAAGCAGAAUUUGUCUUCUUUCUUCUUCAUAUUCCCUUCAGCAUCACAUGAAGCUAAGUGCAUAGUUGUAACUCAAUCUACUUAUUGAAUGGAACAAGCCCAGUUCUGGAAAACUUCCUUUAAAAGCAAGUUUUUUGGCUAAGUGCAGUGGUUCACACCUGUAAUCCCAGCACUUUGGGAGGCUGAGGCUGGCGGAUUACUUGAGGUCAGGAGUUUAAGAC